AAACUCAAAUGAAUUGACGGGGCCGCACAAGCGGUGGAGCAUGUGGUUUAAUUCGAAGCAACGCGAAGAACCUUACCAGGUCUUGACAUCCCCUGACAACCGAGAGAUCGGGCGUUCCCCUUCGGGGGGACAGGGUGACAGGUGGUGCAUGGUUGUCGUCAGCUCGUGUCGUGAGAUGUUGGGUUAAGUCCCGCAACGAGCGCAACCCUCGACCUUAGUUGCCAGCAUUCAGUUGGGCACUCUAAGGUGACUGCCGGCUAAAAGUCGGAGGAAGGUGGGGAUGACGUCAAAUCAUCACGCCCCUUAUGACCUGGGCUACACACGUGCUACAAUGGGCGGUACAAAGGGUCGCGAACCCGCGAGGGGGAGCCAAUCCCAAAAAGCCGCUCUCAGUUCGGAUUGCAGGCUGCAACUCGCCUGCAUGAAGCCGGAAUCGCUAGUAAUCGCGUUUCAACAGAACGCGGUGAAUACGUCCCUGCUCCUU
rnacentral:rRNA from 1 species